AUACGAAGGGGGCAAGCGUUGUUCGGAAUUACUGGGCGUAAAGCGCGCGUAGGCGGCUUAUUAAGUCAGAUGUGAAAUCCCCGGGCUCAACCUGGGAACUGCAUCUGAUACUGGUAGGCUAGAGUUUGGGAGAGGGAAGUAGAAUUUCAGGUGUAGCGGUGAAAUGCAUAGAGAUCUGAAGGAAUACCAGUGGCGAAGGCGACUUCCUGGCCUAAAACUGACGCUGCGGUGCGAAAGCGUGGGUAGCAAACGGGAUUAGAUACCCCAGUAGUCC
rnacentral:rRNA from 1 species